AUUAUCAGAGAAAUAAACUAUCGCAGCAGAGAAACAGAAACAAUAAAGAAGUUUUAAUUGAUUCAGCCACAGAACAUUAAUCACUGGAUGAAAGAUUACAGGAUAUUCACAUAAUCUCACAGUAUCAUUUCACAGAUUACUUAGUAACUGUAAACAGAAGAUACCUUUACAAUGGGG